ACGGCUCGCCGAUUAGGAAAAGAGUGAGCAUGAAAACCUUCAGCCACUGCAGCCCAACUCUGUCUUAGUACAUCAUUGAAAGAGGAAUGUAUUUGUCAAACUGAAGAAGCGUGAUUUUCACAACUCUUUUGUGUUGGUUUCUGGAUAUGAGAUCUCCCAAGCAAAACUACGAGUGACAGUCUGACAUGGAAAAAGUGACCCACCAGCUACUCCUCUUUGAAGGCAGUUUUGCAUCCAUUCUUGCAAACAUGAAUUGUAAAAACUGGAAGAAAAGUGAGUCAGAGGCAAUCGCAGCGCACUCCUGUGCCCAUCUCUCGUGUAGUCUGACAUCCCCAGCAACUGUCAAAACAGAUGUGAUGUUGUCUUCAUCAGGGGAGGGAACCCUGUGUGUGUGGGAGUUGAGGUCCAAUAACUGUUCACCCAGAAGUACAACCCAGAUAGUGCAGCAACGAGGACU